rnacentral:rRNA from 1 species
AGGAUCAACGCUGGCGGCGUGCCUAAUGCAUGCAAGUCGAACGGGGUCCCUUCGGGGGCUUACGUGGCGGACGGGUGAGGAACACGUGGGCAAUCUGUCCUGAGGUGGGGGGUAGCCUUCGGAAACGGAGGGUAAUUCCGCAUGUGUGUAUUGACUGGUGGGGUUGAUACGAGAAAGGCUCUUCGGAGUCGCCUGAGGGGGAGCCUGCGGCCGAUUAGCUAGGUUGGUGGGGUAGAGGUCUUACCAAGGCGAUGAUCGGUA